rnacentral:tRNA from 1 species
GGGUCCGUGGUCUAGCUGGUUAGGACGUCGCCCUGACGUGGCGAAGGUCGCCGGUUCGAAUCCGGCCGGACCCA